AGGAGGCGCGCUCCGUCUAGAAGGAUUGAUGUCACCAGCGACCAAUAAAGAUUCGGGACGCUCUCCUUGGGCGGUCUCGAACCGCCUUCUGGGCGGUCGUUACGCCCUUCCCUCCAGUGACUGGAGUGGUUAAACUCGUUUUGCUAAAAGGAAGAGUCUAUGUCUGGCAUUUCAAUGCCUCAGCAAAGAUGAAACUCAGAAUCGAGAUCUAUUUAACCACUAUUCAACCCCGGAAUUAUUUAAAAAAUGAAAGAAGAUUUGAAUACCUGGAGGAGAGACUAUUUCUGAGGCCGAGUAAGGAAAUAUACCAGCUGGAUAGCCGCCUAGCAACCAAUUUUGGGUGAGUGAUCUCUUCUGGAUAGAGGAAUUGUGGAAAUCCUUCCAGAGCUGUUGUGGAUUGUAUUAAAUAUCUGUUGGAUAGUCUCCUGGAUCUGGAAUUGGACUUGGCUGUGCUAUUCUAUGCUGAAGCAAUUGCUGUGGCUAUCUAUCAAUCAGCGGGCUUGAUGUUUUAUCUUUAGUAUAUAAAUACUGUAACUCUGCAAGCUUUGAAGAUAUAAAGAUGCUUCAAGGAAAA